CCCGCAGGGGACAGCGCCGUGCCGGGACAAGGACAUUUCGGGGCUGGCGCUGGCGCAGCCGGGCUGGCAGCGCCCCCGCAUUGCUGCUCCCUGAGAUCACGGCUCCAGCGCCCGGCCGGGCACACGCGGCCGGCCUGGGCAGUGCCUCCCCGGGCUCGGAGCCGCUCCAGCGCCGGCAGCGCGGUGCCUGCGGCCGGCGCUCCGCGGAGCUCAGCCCGGCCCGGGGCAGCCCGGCCGAGCUCGGCCCGGAGCGGAGCGGCCGCAGGAGGAGGCGCGGGCCCGGAUCCAGCCGGCUGCAGCGGGAGCGGAGCCAGGGCCGAGCGCGGCCUCCUCGGUUCUUCCCUAAAUAGCCGGCGGCGGGCAGGAGGAUUAGCCGGGGCAUUCCUCGGCCACCGUCCUCCUACCGCCGCCGAGCUCCCGAGCUCCCCUGGCCGCGGGAUUCCUGCUCCUCCCUCACGCCGCCCGUCCCCUGCUCCGCGGGGCACCCACAGCCACCCGGGCCCGGCCGCCUUCCUCCCGUUUGGCAGCGGCCUUUGGGCUUCCCCGGGCACGCCCGGCCCCGCCGGUGGAGCCCGGGCCGUUCAGAGCCUCUGCCCGUCUCCAGGGGUCACAGCGGUGCCAGCCCGGGGACAGGGGACAGAGCCUGGGGACAGUGCCCAGGGACAGGGUCCGGGGACAGUGCCUGGGGACAGGGCCAAGGGACAGGGCCUGGGGACAGUGCUCAGGCAGCAUCGUGUGGGGCCAGGCCUGGCUCUGGCUUCUCUGGGACUGGGCCCAGGCCCAGCCCUGGGUUCUGUGGGAUUGGGCCCAGGCCUGUCUGGGUUCUGUGGGAUUGGGCCCAGGCCUGUCUGGGUUCUCUGGGAUUGGGUCCAGGCCCAGCCCUGGGUUCUGUGGGGUUGGGCCCAGGCCUGUCUGGGUUCUGUGGGAUUGGGCCCAGGCCUGUCUGGGUUCUGUGGGAUUGGGCCCAGGCCUGGACUAGGUUCUGUGGGGUUGGGCCCAGGCCUGGCUCUGGGUUCUGUGGGAUUGGGCCGAGCCCAGCCAUGGAGCUCAGCUCUGGAGUGUGGGAUGAGGCUGUGA
rnacentral:lncRNA from 1 species